rnacentral:lncRNA from 1 species
UCACGGUAGGAAUGGACCUUUUAUAACAUGGACAUUUUUCUAUUAAAUAUUGAGAGUUUCUUCUUCCUUCUUGGAUUGGCCAAUCUACAAGUAUAUUUUGGCAAAAAAAUAUAUUUGGAAUGAACUUUUUCCACUUUAGUCAUUUCAAAAGUUAAUAUUCAAAAAAGAAACCACUAUUUUUUUUCAGUUUAGAUGUGUACUUCCUAACAAAUUAAAAUACAACUUUUUCUUUCUCAAGAUAUAUAUACUCAAAUCAUGUGUGAUUUUUAGAUAUUUUUUUGACCUCAAGUAUGCAUCGCCAUAUUUUCAAGAUAUUGUCUACUUUCAAUUUUGUAUACUUUGGAUUUUGUAUGAGCUCUCACGAUUUUGUCUUUUGUGAAAAGAUGUCUCAUAGAUUUGAAAAGUUUGACCCUUAUAGCUUCAAUUACCAAGAAAUGUGGAAUUCUUUGGUGUAGUAGAACAGUUGCCCCACUGUCAUUCUUCAUUUGUGGCAGAGACCCUCGUGGAGUUUUUAUGGUCACUCGAGUCACCUCUUAUUCUCUUUGGACAUGUUGUUACAUUCUAUAGGGCCAUUCUAUAUUAUUAUACAUUCGCAAAAGGGGUAUGUAUAACUACUUCCAUUUCUAUGCAAAUUUCAAUUAUAAGGGGACAGACAAAUUUAUAAAAACAAAGAAUAGGAACAGAAGCAGGAACAAUCUGUGCAGUAAUAUCACAUACACAAAUAAUUUGAGCACUAAUGGUUGACAUCAGGAGCUAAAUGCAAAGUUUAAACUUUUCAUUUAUGAGAACAGUUUUACACAAGAUAUCACAUUAAUCUUGCAUAGUGAAACUAUAUAUAAAGAAUAAAACUGUCAUAAAAAUAAUCACAUUUUCAAUAACAAAUAAAAAUAGAAAAACUGACUACUAUAUUGGUACAUUUAUCAAAUUUUAAUUUCCAUGCAGAGAGAGGCAAGAUGGAACUCAUGAGAAAUGCAUUCCUUUAUUCUGUCUCAACCUGUGUUUCGUGUAUAUGAAUUGUAACUAUUAUUCUUAAGAAUGUA